CCUACGGGAGGCAGCAGUGGGGAAUAUUGGGCAAUGGAGGAAACUCUGACCCAGCGACGCCGCGUGCGGGAUGAAGGCCUUCGGGUUGUAAACCGCUUUCAGCAGGGAAGAAGCGAAAGUGACGGUACCUGCAGAAGAAGCACCGGCUAACUAUGUGCCAGCAGCCGCGGUAAUACAUAGGGUGCAAGCGUUGUCCGGAAUUAUUGGGCGUAAAGAGCUCGUAGGUGGUUCGUCACGUCGGAUGUGAAAAUCUGGGGCUUAACCCCAGACCUGCAUUCGAUACGGGCGAGCUUGAGUAUGGUAGGGGAGUCUGGAAUUCCUGGUGUAGCGGUGGAAUGCGCAGAUAUCAGGAGGAACACCAAUGGCGAAGGCAGGACUCUGGGCCAUUACUGACACUGAGGAGCGAAAGCGUGGGGAGCGAACAGGAUUAGAUACCCUGGUAGUCCACGCCGUAAACGGUGGGCACUAGUUGUGGGGACCUUCCACGGUCUCUGCGACGCAGCUAACGCAUUAAGUGCCCCGCCUGGGGAGUACGAUCGCAGNUAAAACUCAAGGAAUUGAGG
rnacentral:rRNA from 1 species